AGCGUAUAUUAAAGUUGUUGCAGUUAAAAAGCUCGUAGUUGAAUUUCGGGGUUCAUCCGUUGGUCGGGCUUUUUUGGUCUGUACUGGCGUGAUGGAUUCCUACCUUCUGAAUAACCAGCAUGUCAUUAAUUUGGUGCGCUGGGGAAGCAGGACUGUUACCUUGAAAAAAUUAGAGUGCUUAAAGCAGGCUAUCGCCUGAAUACAUUAGCAUGGAAUAAUGAAAUAGGACGGCAUGGUUCUAUUUUGUUGGUUUCUAGGAUCACCGUAAUGAUUAAUAGGGAUAGUUGGGGGCAUUAGUAUUCAAUUGUCAGAGGUGGAAUUCUUGGAUUUAUUGAAGACUAACUUCUGCGAAAGCAUUUGCCAAGGAUGUUUUCAUUAAUCAAGAACGAAAGUUAGGGGAUCGAAGACGAUCAGAUACCGUCGUANUCUUAACCAUAAAC
rnacentral:rRNA from 1 species